UGGAGCUGAUGGGAUUUGAACCCACGUCCAUUUAAAAAUUCUUACUAUAGUCGUUCACAGGUAUAGUUUCAAUGAACAGAAUUAUUAAUAUAAAUUAUUCUAAACUAGAGUCGACGUAAACGUCUAGUACUAGUGAAAAAAUUUUUUGAGUUAUUCGUUUAAAUAGCAAAUUGUAACUGAUUUCUUCGGUUAAAUCCAAAAACAGUUAACAAUGAGAAAAGUAAAUUUUUAGCAGUUAUUUUAAAUUUGUAUUUUUUUACGAAGACUACAAACUUCGACCUGAUUCAUAUAGUAAUUAAAUUUAAAUGUCGAAACCAAAACAGCCCC
rnacentral:tmRNA from 1 species